UUCUGUAUAAUUCUAUUUACCACCAGUUGACAACACAAUGGCUGUCAGCAAGUAAUACCAGAUAAAAAAUGAGGUAACUAUAACCUGUUUUUUUUUGAGGCCAAGGUCGAGACGUUUCGCAACUAUAUCGGCAUCUUCUCGAACAAACUAAAUUACCUGUUUGCAACAUAACCUCAAUGAGAAUUAAUCUCUGCUACAUCAAUGUUCUCGAAGGAUUGUUGAUUUUUUCUGGUUAAAUAUUUUGUAAGGAUGUGGUUAAGGCAACGUUAAGACAGAAACAACACUCAAAAUUACUAUUAUAUAGGCCUGAAAUUAAAAACAGAAUUCGACGUACUCAAGUAGACGCAAUUUAGAGUGGAAAUGCCGUGAGAAGAAUAUGAACCACGAAGCAUCACGUGUUCUUCUCGAAGUUUUUCGACUCUACUUCGCUACAUUACUGUCCUCGACUUCUUGUCAACAAAUUCCUUGUUUUCUCUUAGAUGACGUUUCAAUCGCCACAGUCCUCCAAGUAAUAAACAGUUAAGCGAAAAAGGGUUCAAUGAAAAAUCAAGCUUUUGUAAUAUCGAAAUUCGGCAGGUUUUAAAAAUCGGUUUUACUGUGGAAUUUUAGACCUAGUAAACCUGCCUUAACACAAUGAAGGGUUAAAAAAACAACCAUCUUCAACAUUAACAAAAUAACUUGUAUUCUCAUCAACACAAAGAAAAAAAAAUCAUUUAGCAUAACGGGACUACAUGUAUUUUCGAAUAUCUUUUUUUUUUUGAAAAACUUACAAGCUUAGGCCAAACGUAUGCGAAGAUAACGAUUAAACGGUCUGAUUAUAAAUCGAAGCCAUAUAUUUCGUUAAAACUGUACAUAAACAAGUCUAAUAGCGGACAAAAGAAAAACAAAAUAAAAUUUACACAACAAAAAUUGUAAUGGAAUGUACAAAUUAUUUAUUUUCAACAUAAUUUUGCUGUUCCCUUCUUACAACAGAGGCAUUUCUACAUUUCGAACCUAAAAGACAGACGGCUGGAGUCGUCGACACUCCCCCAGCCGCCAAGCCCGGUGCUGCGUACUAGAAGAAAGUAUAAUGACGAGAAAAAAAAUACUAUCAACAUGUUUAGGUUAUAGACGCAAGGGCGCGGCUCUGGACUGGGUUGUGUGUUAAGGGCAGUUCACAGCCGCGCCCCCAAGUGUCCUAGGCUACAGAGAAGGCUAACACGUAUAACUAUGGACACCAAA